GACGAACGCUGGCGGCGUGCUUAACACAUGCAAGUCGAGCGGUAAGGCCCUUUCGGGGGUACGACGAGCGGCGAACGGGUGNGUAACACGUGGGUGACCUGCCCUUAGCUCUGGGAUAAGCCUGGGAAACUGGGUCUAAUACCGGAUAUGACUCCAUGACGCAUGUUGUGGGGUGGAAAGCCUUGUGCGGCUAGGGAUGGGCCUGCGGCCUAUCAGCUUGUUGGUGGGGUGAUGGCCUACCAAGGCGACGACGGGUAGCCGGCCUGAGAGGGCGACCGGCCACACUGGGACUGAGACACGGCCCAGACUCCUACGGGAGGCAGCAGUGGGGAAUCUUGCGCAAUGGGCGAAAGCCUGACGCAGCGACGCCGCGUGGGGA
rnacentral:rRNA from 1 species